UGCGCAGGCGGCCCCGCAUGUCAGGCGUGAAAUCCCCGGGCUUAACCUGGGAAUGGCGCUUGAAACUACGGGGCUGGAGUAUGGCAGAGGGAGGUGGAAUUCCACGUGUAGCGGUGAAAUGCGUAGAGAUGUGGAGGAACACCGAUGGCGAAGGCAGCCUCCUGGGCCAAUACUGACGCUCAUGCACGAAAGCGUGGGAGCAAACAGGAUUAGAUACCCUGGUAGUCCACGCCCUAAACGAUGAUGACUAGUUGUUGGAGGAGUUAAAUCCUUUAGUAACGCAGCUAACGCGAGAAGUCAUCCGCCUGGGAGUACGUCGCAAGAUUAAA
rnacentral:rRNA from 1 species